GCGCUUGCUUCAGCAGCACAUAUACCAAAAUUUAAAUGAUAUAGAGAAGAUUAGCAUGGCCCUUACACAAGGAUGACAGGCAAAUUUGUGAAGCAUUCCAUAUUUUU